rnacentral:rRNA from 1 species
UACGAAGGGUGCAAACGUUGCUCGGAAUUAUUGGGCGUAAAGCGCACGUAGGCGGCUUUGCAAGUCCCAUGUGAAAUCCCACGGCUCAACCGUGGAAGUGCAUGGGAAACUGCAGAGCUUGAGUACUUAAGAGGAUCGCGGAAUUCCCGGUGUAGAGGUGAAAUUCGUAGAUAUCGGGAGGAACACCAGUGGCGAAGGCGGCGAUCUGGGAAGAUACUGACGCUGAGGUGCGAAAGUGUGGGGAGCGAACAGG